AUAACUUUUAUUAUGUUAAAUGCACUAAUAGUUUAGGGUUAAUAUUUUUUAACUAUAGCAAAGCUAAUUCUAUCAUGAUUAAAAAUACACUCUGAUGGUUCAUUUUAUGUAUCAACUUGACUGGCUGCAGGAUGCCCAGAUUAAACAUUAUUUCUUGGUUUGUCUCUGAAAGUGGUAUUAUAUGAGAUUAGCAUUUGAUUUGGUGGACUCAAUAAAGUAGCUUGUCUAAUCUAAUAUAGAUGGGGAUCACACAAUCCUUUGAGGGCCUAGGUAAAAUAAAAGAUGGAUGAAGGAAAAGUCUACCUCUUUUUUCUUAUCUCACUGUUAAGCUGAAAUCUUUCACCUCUGAUCUUUACUAGGAUUUAUGCCAUCAGCUCCCCUGGUUCUCAGGCUUUCAGAUUUGGUCUGAUUUAUAUCACCAGCUUUCCUAGAUCUCCAGCUGACAGAAGAAAAACUGUGGGACUUUUCAGCCUCCAUAAUCACAGGAGUCAAUUCCUCAAAACUAGUAUCUAUCUUCUCCAUGUGAAUAUAUAAUUUUUAUGUACUACAAGAUUUUAAAAUUUAAUUUCUAUACAUAGUAAGACUAUAUAUUAUAACAUAUAUUAGUCUUAUAAUAAGAAUAUGUUUUGGAGGGGGAAGAUGGCAGCAGACUUAUUCUGCCUCCUUCUGGCAGUAGAAGGACUUUAGGCUGGCCUUAUCCCACAAAUACAACUAGAUAACUACCAAACCAUCCUAAGUACUCCAGAAGUUGAUCUGAAGAUUGGCAGAACAAAAUCCACAACUAAAGAUAGAAAAGAAGCCACAUUGAAGAAAGAGAAAGAACAAAGAUGUGGCUUAGGAGAGAAAUGUAUCGUGGCCACUGUAGUGGGAGGGAGCCAUGGUUGUGGAGAAGGUCAAGAGAUAGACUAACACUCAGGAGCACAUGAGAAAAAUGAAUCCCUGUAGCAUUUGGCUUGGAAAGUGAGAGAGUCCGAAUUUUUUAAGUUCCUGCAAUCAGUGGGGCUUAAAGCCUGGAAUUUUAAAGGUUAGCAUGCUUGGCCCUGGGAGACCUCCGAGAACACUGGGGCUUCUCUUGGAGAGAAGGCAAGCAAACAGGCCACAGACAUAUAGCAUAGAAACAGGCAUCUGAAGAGUGCCUGGGGAAGAGUGGGGAGGUUAGUUGUUUAUCUUGGAGCAUUUCCCAAAGAAGCAGCAUUCACAAAGAGAACCCUCUGGGAACAAAGGAAUUGGCAAGCACCAUUUUCCUCUCCCUGUCCCUCAGCAUAAACACAGAGCCAGGAACAGGAACCAGUACAGUGCUGGCUUCCUUACCUAAUUUGCUUAUGUACCCCAUGCUCUGCAAGAACCACCCUUCCCAGUCAUGAAUGCUUCAGUCCCAGUGCUGAGGACCCCCUCUCCUAGAAAACUAGCCAAAACCCCUGACAACAUAGCAUCUCUGAGUCCAGGAGUUUAUAGGAUCUUGCUUCCAGUGGCAGUUCUCAUUUUACAAGCAGACUAGAACACACCCAGUUAAAACAUGCCACAUUCAGGCCAGGGACCAAACAUUGCCUACAACAGACAGAAAACCUCUGCAGAUGAUUGGCUUGAAGGAUAAAGCAGCCAUGAUAGAAAAGCAAAGUGCAUGCAGCAGAACUGGCUGUAUUUCUGAAAGUGCCAAAGCGUGGGGAACAGGGGACAGACACUAUGCAGCAGCAUACUAUAAGACCUCAUCCUCAUAAACCCGCUACCCUCAAAAAUGAGCUAUGGCUGACUUCCCUAACAUAGGCACAGGCACAGAGGCUUAGACAAACUAAGAAGGCAGAGGAACUUGUCCCAUUGGAAGAAUAGGAUAAGGCCAUGGCCAGAGAUCUAACUGAAACAUCAGAUAUAAGUAACACACCUGUUGGAGAAUUUAAAGCAAUGAUCAUAAGAGUACUCACUGGAUUGGAGAAAAGAGUGAAGGAGAUGAGUGAGAACAUUAACACAGGUAAGGAAAAGUAUUACAGAGAUCAAGACCUCAAUAAACUAAACGAGAAACAUGCUUGAUGGAAUUAGCAGCAGGCUGGAAGAAGUAGAGGAAAGAGUUAAUGCCCUAGAAGAUAGUAAUGGAAAACAAUGAAGCUGA
rnacentral:lncRNA from 1 species